rnacentral:rRNA from 1 species
UACGUAGGGUGCAAGCGUUGUCCGGAAUUAUUGGGCGUAAAGAGCUCGUAGGCGGUCCGUCACGUCGGCUGUGAAAACCCGGGGCUCAACUCCGGGCCUGCAGUCGAUACGGGCGGACUAGAGUACUGCAGGGGAGACUGGAAUUCCUGGUGUAGCGGUGAAAUGCGCAGAUAUCAGGAGGAACACCGGUGGCGAAGGCGGGUCUCUGGGCAGUAACUGAC